CACGUAGGGGGCGGGCGUUGUCCGGAUUUAUUGGGCGUAAAGAGCUCGUAGGCGGCUCGGUAAGUCAGGUGUGAAAACUCUAGGCUCAACCUAGAGACGCCACCUGAUACUGCCGUGGCUAGAGUCCGGUAGGGGAGCAUGGAAUUCCUGGUGUAGCGGUGAAAUGCGCAGAUAUCAGGAGGAACACCAGUGGCGAAGGCGGUGCUCUGGGCCGGAACUGACGCUGAGGAGCGAAAGCGUGGGGAGCAAACAGG
rnacentral:rRNA from 1 species